AAUGGGGCUGGCUGAGCACCGUGGGUCGGCGAGGGCCCGCCAAGGAAGGAGCGACCGACCGAGCCAGGCGCCCUCCGCAGACCUCCGCGCAGCGGCCGCGGGCGCGAGGGGAGGGGUCUGGAGCUCCCUCCGGCUGCCUGUCCCGCACCGGAGCCCGUGGGGUGGGGAGGUGUGCAGCCUGUGACAGACAGGGGCUUAGAGAUGCAAACAGACUCAGGGAGAGAAACAGAAGCUGAUUCUGUGACAGAAGCAGAUCUGUGCAGCACAGAUGCGGUGUGCGUGGGGAGGGGGUCGCCUGGGAGCGCAUUGCGGAGUGCUUGUGUGUGCAGAUUUUUCUCUGGGCUCAGGACUCAUUGUAUGUGGGUCAACACCUUCCUCCGUGACUGUGUUUUUGUUCUGAGCUGAGUUUUUUGGUUUGCCCUUAAAAAAAUAAUAAUUUGGCAUCCAGAGACUGGCAGACUGCCUCAGGGCCUGGACUGCGGAUAUAUUGUGUUCUGCUUGAGGUUUGGGGAGGAGGGCAGGCGGUAGGAAGGGAGAGGGGGAGCUGUUUGUCACACUUUGCUGUAGAGCUGAGAGCACCUGACAAGCUUAAGGAAGUCGUUGGGCUAUGUGGACAAGAAGGAGCCAGCUCCCAGCGGGUUCACAAGCUCUAUCGGAGUUGAAAGCGUGGUCAUGGCUCUAAGGAGCACCUCACGCCCUCCCUGUAGCUGUUAUUGCAGUUUCAGGCAGAGAUCCAGGAGCUGCAGAGGAAGGGAGAGGCACAAUAACCUACAUGGACCCAAGGGAGACAUGUGUUCCUUUAAAAAUGUGAACAGAAGGAAAAACAGAAUGUGUGCAACUGGGGGUCUGAGGAAAGACUGUUUUGAAAGAGGCUGUCAGGGAAUGGAAAGGGUUAAGCUUUUCAUCCUGAAGAACCUGCUUCCCAAAUCAGGCCUUCCUCCCAUCACUAGACCCUGAGCAGCAGCUGGUCCUAGAGACCCCCCUCGUACUGCGCUGCCACAGUCUCAUCCCAUUUCCAGCUCUGUAUUAACCACCAAGCUGCAGCGGAUGGGGCAAGACCUAAGCUCAUUAAUUUCCAGGUGGAGGAAAUGGAGGAGGGGCAGGUCCCUGCAGUAGAGGGAGGAGCAGAGAAAGGAGGCCAAGAGCUGGAUCCUUCUGCCCAGGAAGCCUGCUGCAUCCCUUCCCCCGAGCAUGGCAGAGGCCUGGCUUUGCAAGGCCAAGGCCAUAAGGGAUGCUUAGGAGAUUAAUUUGAUUCCUGACACAAUAAUCAAGCCCUAAGAGUCUCCACUGAAGCUUACUGAGGACUUCUUUCCUCUCCAAAGCCUCAGUCUAGCCUGCUAAAUAAAUUAGUAUUCAGUGAUGCCUUGGAUCAGGGCCCCUCCCCGGCCUCAGUUUCCCCAAAUAUUUAUUAAGUACCUACUGUGUGCAAUCCUUGUGUAAUUAUUACCUCUUAGGCUCUUCAUUUGCCCUCCUAAAGCAGUGUUUAGAGUCAGGCAGAGGUUAAGUGUGUUGCACCUCACCUAGAUACUUCCAGAACCUUCUCUGGGUCUGCAGAAUGUGGCACAACCUGCUUGCCCCCGCAGAGAGAAAGCUGCAGUGCACAUCCUGCAGACUGCAGGUGCUGGGCUGCCUCUGGAGUCCCAGAAGGCAAGCUUGGCUGCAGGACAGAAAGGGAGAACAGCUUCUCUCACCCCUGAGCCUUCACAAGCCCUUGUCUAUUUGCCGUUGCCUUCAAAAUAUACCUCCCCCGAAACCAGUAGCUUUCUGAGUCCUGGUGUCCCCUCCGCCCUUUCUGGACAGGUUUGGGAAGAAGAAAGCAGUCAGUGCUGGGCCUUAUUGGGGUGUGAAGCGCCUUGCUCUGCCCCUUCUGCUCACUGUGAAGGCCGCUGGAUGCUUCUCUUAGGCAUGGUUUAAGCCUCCGAUUACUAAACCCCUUGCCCCACAAACGUCCACAUUGACGAGCCUCUUUUUAGUAACUGCUUCCCCGUAAUUCCUUCAGAGGUUGCUGUACCCUUCGCUGAUGUGCUGCCCUCCUGUAAAACCUCCAGAUGCCUUCCCACGUAAUGCCCCUUUCAGAUGCUUUAAGCUGAGAGCUUAAACCACAGGUACCAUGGCUGACGCCUGCCAGGUUUCUGCUGCAGAUAAUCUAUGAUGGGAGGGGCAUAUUUUUUACUUCAUUACUUAUGUAAACUCUUGUUCCAGAAAGCUUUAAUGUGUGUGGGAGUGUUCUGGGUCUAUUAGGUCUGUGCGCAUGGGUGUGGGCAUUUGCCUGUGUCCACCGGGUGGGUCUCAUUAUGAAAUGUAUGUUUAUGUAGGGCUUUAAUGGCUGAAAAUGGCAAAGAGAUGAAUAGACCACUUGGCCCCAUGUGUAAUUGCCAGGCCCCUUCUGUGCUCAAAUGAGGUGUCCGAGUGAAGGUCAGCCCUUCCCUUCUGUAUUUGGGGCCUAUUUAUGCCACCAGUAAUUUUAUAAGAAAUCUGAAUAGUUCUCCCCUUUGAGUGCAUUUAACUCUUUAGUAUCUUCUCUCUUACCUAUUUGAGCCCCUCUAGCUACAGUCUGGCUUAAAUGAAAGGGGAAUUAUAUGCUUAAGAAAAAGUAGGACACGGUUGAGGCAGUUUGCUGACUGAAUACGCGAAGAAGGACCUGAUGGGCUCAUAUGCACCACUGCCAUCACAGUCCCCAUCGUGAUGCAAGCUUAUAUGAUUCUUGAGGUAACUCUACCAGAUACUUCCAGAUUUAGAAAUGUGUCAAAGGAAAAAUUGGUGAUACUCUUCUUUCCCCUGCCAGAAACAGCCCAGAUCUCCUCUUAAGCGGAAAAGAGAUUGACCUUCUAGCAGAGGCAAAGGUAAACUCCUGUAAGUUACUUCUGUUACCAAAGGGAGGGGGGCGGCUUUUGUGAAUGUAUGAGGAGCUUUUGCCAGAGAGAUAUUCGGAGGAGGGGUGUGCCCAUAUGCACACAUAUAUUUUCCCGCAUAACCGUAUCCAAUGCUAGCAUUUAGAGGAAGGCAUUUAGCCACCAAAAGUCCAUCCAUCUAUGCUGCUUCCACAGAGAAAACAUUUUCUCUUUCCUCCUCUUGAACUUACAUAAUAUCCUCCUCCCAUUCCAACCUUAGAAUGGAGUCUUCUGGGGGCAGCUGCAAAGCGUUCUCCCUAGGACAGAUGGAGCCUCCCUUUCCUCAUCUACUCUGUGGGUGGUUUCAGGGCCCACGAGUCAACAUGAGGAGUUGUGCUGGUGGUAUGUGUGUUGGAGGCUGGGCUGGCUGAUUCACAGUGACGAGGAUGUCAAUAAUAACAAGAAUGAGAAUGAUGAUACCUAAUAAAGACUUUUUUUCCCAA
rnacentral:misc_RNA from 1 species